GUUAAUUCCUGAAGUUUUUCACUUGGAAGGCAGGGAUAGGAGGUGGUCGGGUUGUGAUGAAAUGUGUGAGCAGCCAGGCUGGAAUUAUUACCCUGAUCCCCCACAUUCCUUAUUUGCCCUGAUCAUUUUUUAUGACAAAGAACCACCUUUUUUUUGUUACCAGCUAAAAUAGUGUUCAUCAGCUUUCAUUCUUGCAUCAGACUUGUAUUGCUAAGCUUUCUUAUACAUGUUUUAUUC